GAUGAACGCUGGCGGCGUGCCUAAUACAUGCAAGUCGAGCGAACAGAUAAGGAGCUUGCUCCUUUGAAGUUAGCGGCGGACGGGUGAGUAACACGUGGGUAACCUACCUAUAAGACUGGGAUAACUUCGGGAAACCGGAGCUAAUACCGGAUAACAUUUAGAACCGCAUGGUUCUAAAGUGAAAGAUGGUUUUGCUAUCACUUAUAGAUGGACCCGCGCCGUAUUAGCUAGUUGGUAAGGUAACGGCUUACCAAGGCGACGAUACGUAGCCGACCUGAGAGGGGGGUCGGCCAAACUGGAACUAAGACACGGUCCAGACUCCUAGGGGAGGCAGGAGUAGGGAAUCUUCCGAAAGGGGCGAAAGCCUGACGGAGCAACGCCGCGUGAGUGAUGAAGGGUUGCGGCGCGUAAAACUCUGUUAUUAGGGAAGAACAAAUGUGUAAGUAACUGGGCACAUCUUGACGGUACCUAAUCAGAAAGCCACGGCUAACUACG
rnacentral:rRNA from 1 species